AAACUCCUUUCAUCACCUAUAAAAGGGCAAACUGCAACCUUCUCUCUCGAAUCUCUCAUAUCUCAUGGCUCCAAGAAAUGAAAUGGGGGCACACGUUAGGAGGAAGAAUAAUGCGUUGAAGAGGGUCGUGAAGAAAGAGGAGAAGAACCUGAAAAGGUUGAAAGCAGGUUUAUCAAAGGUGAAGGCAGAAACGGAAGAAACGCUGAAAGCCCUGGAAGAGCUUCGCCAGUCAAUGGCCCAUGUCAGGGAAGUGAUUCGUCCGCUGUUAGAUGAUAACUCGCUGGAGGCUGCCCUCACCGCGGCUUUACUUUGAUUACGUUUCCCAGUCUUUCAGUUAGCUCGAUCUGUUGGCUGCUGCGGAGCUCUGCAAGGAUUUCUCCAUGGUUGCCGGUUUAUUUAUCCUUCUCGUUUUUAUUUUCUUAGAGUUAUUUGGUUUUCUUGAACUUUCUACAGCAUAUGCUUUUGGUGUGGAAUCGAAUGGUUGUAUUGCACUGCUAAAAUUAAUCUAAGUCUCCUUAUCUUA